UAGGGAAUCUUGCGCAAUGGGCGAAAGCCUGACGCAGCGACGCCGCGUGGGGGAUGAAGGUCUUCGGAUCGUAAACCCCUGUCUUUGGGGAGCGAAGCAUGACGGUACCCAAGGAGGAAGCCCCGGCUAACUACGUGCCAGCAGCCGCGGUAAAACGUAGGGGCGAGCGUUGUCCGGAAUUACUGGGCGUAAAGGGUGCGUAGGCGGCCGCUUAAGUCCUGUGUGAAAGGCCCCGGCUUAACCGGGGAGGGUCAUGGGAAACUGGGCGGCUUGAGUGCCGGAGAGGGUGGUGGAAUUCCCGGUGUAGCGGUGAAAUGCGUAGAGAUCGGGAGGAACACCAGUGGCGAAGGCGGCCACCUGGACGGCAACUGACGCUGAGGCACGACAGCUGGGGGAGCAAACAGGAUUAGAUACCC
rnacentral:rRNA from 1 species